UUGAUUUUCGGUUACCUCAUAG
rnacentral:siRNA from 1 species